GUCCCCAUAGUUCAACGGAUAGAACAAGGCCCUCCUAAGGCUUAGAUGAAGGUUCGAUUCCCUCUGGGGACGCCA
rnacentral:tRNA from 1 species